rnacentral:rRNA from 1 species
CGCCUAACACAUGCAAGUCGCACGAGAAAGGGCUUCGGCCCCAGUAAAGUGGCGCACGGGUGCGUAACACGUAGGCAAUCUUUCCUCGGGCGGGGGACAACCUUCCGAAAGGAGGGCUAAUACCGCGUAAGACCACGGCUCCUGCGGGAGCUGCGGUAAAAGCUGGCCUCUUCAUGAAAGCUAGCGCCUGAGAGUGAGCCUGCGGCCCAUCAGCUAGUUGGUAGGGUAAUGGCCUACCAAGGCAAAGACGGGUAGCUGGUUUGAGAGGAUGAUCAGCCACACUGGCGCUGAAACACGGGCCAGACUCCUACGGGAGGCAGCAGUGGGGAAUCUUGGUCAAUGGGCGAAAGCCUUUUCCUGCUACGCCGCGUGAGUGAUGAAGGCCUUCGGGUUGCAAAGCUC